rnacentral:rRNA from 1 species
GUGAGGAAUAUUGGACAAUGGGCGCAAGCCUGAUCCAGCCAUGCCGCGUGUAGGAAGACGCAUCUAUGGUGUGUAAACUGCUUUUGUACGGGAAGAAACACUCCCUCGUGAGGGAGCUUGACGGUACCGUAAGAAUAAGGAUCGGCUAACUCCGUGCCAGCAGCCGCGGUAAUACGGAGGAUCCAAGCGUUAUCCGGAAUCAUUGGGUUUAAAGGGUCCGUAGGCGGUUUAAUAAGUCAGUGGUGAAAGCCCAUCGCUCAACGAUGGAACGGCCAUUGAUACUGUUAGACUUGAAUUACAAGGAAGUAACUAGAAUAUGUAGUGUAGCGGUGAAAUGCUUAGAUAUUACAUGGAAUACCAAUUGCGAAGGCAGGUUACUACUUGUGGAUUGACGCUGAUGGACGAAAGCGUGGGGAGCGAACAGGAUUAGAUACCCUGGUAGUCC